AAUUAAACCCUUAAACGUAGGCAGAUCCAGGCCGCACUCACCGACGAGCCGGCGGCGGCGCAAACUCUGCUUCCGGCGACUGGAGCGCGGCGACCCCGCGCGGGACGCUACCAGAUUUUCGGUGGACUCGCAGAUCCCUCAUGUCGUUCGCCGGCGUGUCGGUCGUCGACAGCGCCAAGCACUGCACCUGCGACACGUCGGCCGUCUACGCCGGCGCGGACAGCGGGUACCACCUGCUUAUGGUCAGGGACUACUCGCGUACCAAGGUUCAGUUGCCCACCGGCGAGAGCGCCACCACCGGCCUUUUCACGGUGGGAGAAUAUGAUUGGUACAUCGAGUACUACCCCAACGGAGAAAACCCAAACUGCCGGGACUUCGUUUCGCUCUACGUCACGAGGCAUACCCUCUACGACUGCGAGGGCGAAGAGGAUGUGGAGGCCAAGUUCAGCUUCAGUCUCGUCGACCAGCUUGAGAAGCACAAGCCAGUGUACAUUCAUGGAACCAAUAAGACUUGCACCUUCUCCAGCAGUGCUCCCUCCUGGGGCAGCGACAGAUUUGUGAGAAGAGACGCCCUGGAACGAUCGGCGCAUCUAAAGGGUGAUUGUCUCACCAUCCGGUGCGACAUCAUGGUUGUUUGCAAGGAUCACAAAAUCGAGGAUGCCGCUGGCACCGUACCUGACAUAAACCAGCAUUUUGGCCACCUCCUUCAAAACAAGGUGGGUGCUGAUGUGACAUUUGAGGUCGGUGGCGAGACGUUCGCUGCGCACCGGUGUGUGCUUGCAGCCCGGUCCAAAGUGUUCAUGGCGCAGCUCUUUGGCCCCAUGAAGGAGGGCGCCACAACAUCCAGCGUCAUACAGAUCAAAGACAUGGAAGCAAAAGUGUUCAGGGCUUUGCUAAGCUUCAUCUACACAGAUUCACUCCCUGCGAUGGAGAAGGACAGCAUGGAGGAGGAUGAAAUGUCAGAAGUUAUGGACGAAGGGCGAGAAGAAGCAGCAGAGUUUGAAAUGUGGCUGCAAUGGUUGGAAGAUUUGUUUGUGGCGGCAGACAGAUACGAUCUCCAACUGCUCAAGUUAAUCUGUGAAAAGCAGUUGUCUGAGCACAUAAGUGUGAGCUCAGUGACGUCCACUCUUGCUCUAGCUGAGAAGCACCACUGCUGUGGAUUGAAGGAGGCGUGCUUGAAGUUUAUCCAAGUGCAGUCUCCCUCGUGCUUGCAAACAGUAAUGGCAACUAGUGGCUGGGAUCAUAUAGCAGUGACCUAUCCCUGGGUUGUGAAGGAGUUCAUUGCCAAGCUUGCUUCGAACCAGCGCAAGUAACACUCUGUAUAGGGGUAGAAUUUCAAACGCGAGAACUAUUCAUCGGCACCAAUCAUCUACAUGCAGCUGGGUUAUCUGAAUUCUGUUUGCUGAUAAAGAAAAUUGAGAGUAUGAACUGAACUUUCUUGUUAGGAAAAAUAUAAUUAUUGGAAAGGAACUGUUUGACCUGCCUUCAUCACGCUAUAGUACCUGCCUUCCUGGCAAGGUAGGCAUGGCCAGUUAAAUUACUCGAAACAACAUAGCACCGAGUAACCAACUGCUGUUGCCAGAUGAUUACAGGGAAGCUCUGGUUGACCUCAAGAUUCUUUUUCUGUUGUGUUCUGUUAAACGUGUACAACAUGGUCAGGUACUCAGGUGUCGACCUCCAUUCUGAUCCGGUCGGCAGCAAUUGGAUUUACCGGUCUUUGUGGUUUGAUUAAUAGUUCAUUGGUUCAGCUGACCAUGGCCUGCAUGUUCCAUCGGUAUAUCCCUUAAUCACUUUCCAAUGUCAUUUGUCUGGAAAGUCACCCUUAUCAUCUACAUGCAAAAGCAUCAUCAUGUAUAAAAAGUUGCAAAUUGAGGGACCUUCAUCAAAUCCUGAGGCUAUCUGUGGUCACUUUCAAGGGGCUUCUGCAAAAUCUAAUGUGAAGCGGCAAUGUCUUUAUUUAUUUAACUGUGCAUCUAAUAUGAAUUAUUUCAGCCCUCACUUAGCCUGGAUACUUGUCAGCUUGGGUUUCCUGUGAGUCUGAUGUAUCACCUGCUUCCCGUGCUGGGAGAGUUCUCUGCUUGGCGUUGAGGUACAUAGUUUAUCCUUGUAGAGUUCUGGUUAGAUGGUUAUUGUACCCAGUACCCUCCUUUUAUUUCUGUUGGAGAGAAGUAGCUUCCUUUGUUGUAACUUCUAAGCGAAACAACAGCUCAUAAAAAAGACUUCUAAGCAAAACAAACGAAAUAUGGCUCUCUGUUGGGUGGCUAAUAAAUGCCACUUGGAGCCCUCAUGUGGUUCUGUUUGUUGAAUUAUGUCUAGCUUAUCUUUGAGAACAUUAUCAGGAUACUUUCAACUGAAAACUAACUGAUGUUAGAGGUAUGCGCGUAAAUCAUGCCAGUAUUAUAUACUCCCUCCGUUCCAAAAUACUCCCUCCGUCCGGAAAUACUUGUCGGGGAAAUGGAUGUAUCUAGACGUAUUUUAGUUCUAGAUACAUCCAAUUUUAUCUGUUUGUGCGACAAGUAUUUCCGGACGGAGGGAGUAGAUGACUCAACUUUGUACUAUAUUUUGGAACGGAGGGAGUAGUAGUCUUGCUGUUUCACAUCUCUAUCAAGAAAUAAGUGCCAUUCGUGAUGGCGGGGCUGCUCAUAGAGUCUAUUUUGGACAUAUAUGCAUCGAAGGAUACAUGUCUAUUUAAUCUCCACCAGGUGGCAUGCCCAGGCAGGCGCUAUUUAGUUUCUUAUUGCAAAAAAGAUAACAUAUGGGCGGAUUAUUAAAGAAGAAGAAGCAUGCAACCUACUCGUCUAUAUUAUACACCAGUGCUGACCAGCGACCACCACGUGGAAGUUCAUGGUCGAUAGCUCUGCAUUUCUAAUAGAUGGGUAAUAUGUUGAACCCGAGAAUUCUAUAUGUCUAAAAGGAAAAAGGAUUUGAUGGAGCUUACCAUUUAAAAGCGCCCUAGAGCUCUUUUCGUCAUGUGAAGCGCAAUUUUCGAUAUCUGGUUAGCUGAUGGUACUUCUUUCCAAUCUUUCGCCUUUGCACCUUUGCACCUUUGCUCCUUAUUCUGAAUUCUGCCUGUGUAACGGCAUUUUUGAGCGCCUUUUGGCAUUGUGCUGAUAGGUCCUUCCUGGCAAUGUUAUGGUGCUGCGCCCACGGCACGCGACGGACAUGGUGUGCUAAAUUGCUGGAAACAUCAUAGCGCCUAGUGACCAACUACUGUCGCCGCAUGAUUACAUGGAAGCUCCCGUUGGCCUCAAGAUUCUUUUUCUGUGUCCGUUCCUGGGGUUAUGUUGAGAAAAAACUGGGGUUAAAUUGCCUGUCUAUUGCAUGAUGAGGCUCCCUCUUGUAGUCUUGUGGGUGGUGUCACACUUUGCGAGCCUUCACUCAUUCUUUGCCAUCUGAGAGCUACUGAUUGAUCUGAUCCGUUACAAAAUUGGAGAAAUACCAGAGCUCGUGGUUCAUGUUUGACA